ACUAAAUUUCCACCACCGAUCUCUUGGCUCUCCCAUCGAUGAAAAACGCCGCCAAAUGCGAUAAGUAAUGUGAAUUGCAAAAUUCCGUGAAUCAUCGAAUCCUUGAACGCACCUUGCCCUCCUUGGUAUUCCUUGGAACAUGGCUGGUUGAAUAUCAUGAAAU
rnacentral:rRNA from 1 species